rnacentral:misc_RNA from 1 species
GUGAAUCAUCAAAUCUUUGAACGCAAAUUGCACUUUCUGGUAUUCCGGCGAGUAUGCCUGUUUGAGGGUCAGUUAAAUAAAAAUCGGUGUUGUUGCUGCUUUUCGUGGUGACGCGUCGGAAUUGAGUUGUCUUACCUUCGGUUAAGUGACUUAAAAUUUUGCAUGAUUUUCGAACGUAUUUAAAUCGCUUACGUACGU